GUUACUGGAGCAGGCCGGCCUGCUUGGACCAGGAGAGCUGAGUCAUCCACGGGACAGGAUAGCAGCAGCUAUAAAUUAUCCUGUGUUUAAGGAUGGCUUUCUCAAACCCCGGCUUUGGGCUGGGAGUCUUUAUUUAUAUCUCUCACAGGAAUAUUUUUCAAACUCAUGACAGUGCACUCUGCAUGGCUUUGGGGAUACUCCAAGCACCUGGUCUCCUCUAUAAGGAGCCGUGCAGGCAACAGGCCCCCAGAGGCCCUGGGCCUGGACUCCAGAUCGGCUCACACUCACACCCACACGUACAUCCCUCGCGGCCAAGCCAGACCUCCUUCUCGUGCAUGCAAAGUUUCUGCAAGACAGAAAGAGAGAACCUCAUUCUUCCCAUUGUGCUGAGAGAGGCACAGAGAAAGACAAAACCAUCGCCUGGGGUCACAGAGGGCAGUGGCUGUGAUGGAUCUGAGGCCAACUCCAUCCCCAGAUCCUGCCUAGCAACUUCCUUCUGGGACGAAGGACCCAGGACAUGUCACAGUCCCUCUAAUUCAUCCAGCCCAACAUCUGUCCUCUGAACCCUGUGCACACUCAUCCAGAUGGCACAGAACGGCCACCUUUCUGGGAAGCAGAAUUCUCUAAGGCUUUGAGGCUAGGUCUUAUGGGAUUGUCCCCACCUGUCAGUAGAAGGGAUGGUUAGGGCCCAAUAUGGCGCAGCAUUGACCCUAUUGUUGAUAGAACCAGAGGGUCAGAAAUUUGCAAAAAUGUCAAAGUCCUACAUUAGGUCACAGAGCAAUUCUCCAGUUCCUCCCUGUCCCACCCUGUCUCCUCACUCCUCUGAAGCACCUGCUGUUUACACACCUUUCCCACUCUUAUCCCACUAUCAUCUCUAGCUAUCUUCCAAGCACGGAUAUAUACAAGGAACCCCUUCCCCACCCCUAGAGCAUCAAACCUUCUUUCUCCCACUACUGAAACAUCACUGGAAUUUCCACUUCCCGGGCUAGGUUUUCCAGACAGAUUUUGUUAUCGUUGUGAUUGUUGUUGCUGUUUUUCUCUAACUUCACAGAGCACGGAUUCUGGCCACAUUUGCCCCAGGAGGUGAUCUUGAUGGACCAUGUCAAGGAGCUCCCUUGCCCUGUGGUUUUCAUCUGGAUCCAGCCAGUGGGAGGCACCAUCCAAGGGUCAAAGACAAGGGAGACAGUGCAGCCCGAGGAGCGAGUCCCCAGCCCUGUCCCGGGUCGACCAGCCUCCUCUGCAGAAGUCACGCCAUCCUCUCCAUAGACCUACCGCAUUCGUUUCCUGUGGCUGCUGUAACAAAUGACUAUGAACGUGGUGGCUUACAAUGACAGAAAUUUAUUCUCUCACAGUCCUGGAGGUCAGAAGGUGGUACCAAGGUGUCGGCAGGGCUGUGCUCCUUCAGGAGGCUCUGCAGGAGAAGCUGUUCUCCGCCUCUUUUGGCUUCCAGUGGCUGUCAGUGUUCCUCCACUUGUGACCCCACCACUCCAGUCUCUGCUCCUGUGUUCACAUUGCCUCCUCCUUUCCUCUGUCUUCUCUUCUGUCUGUCUCAAAGCCCCUCUGCCUUUCUUUUAUAAGGACACUUGUCAAUGAAUUUAGGGCUCACAUGGAUAAUCCAGGAUAAUCUCCUUAUCUCAAGAUCCUUAACUUAAUUAGAUCUGUAAAGACUCUUUUUUCCAAAUAAAGUAACAUUCACAGGUUCCAGGGGUUAGGACGCGGACUUAUCUUUGGAGGGGCCACCAUUCAACCCACUACCCCACUCAUUCUGGGUUCUAAUAAUUGCUCCCUCUCAAUGCCGUUAUAGGCCUAGGGGUUAUGAUGCUGCUAUUAGUCUUGGGGCUUUGCACCAUCCCUG
rnacentral:lncRNA from 1 species